AGGCGGUUAAGCCAUGGGACAGGGCCGCAGAUGGAGACUGCUCAAGGUCAAAGGGGUCUCCAGCUGGGACCCUGCACCUGGUUCGUAGCCCCU
ensembl:miRNA MIR3918 microRNA 3918